rnacentral:rRNA from 1 species
UACGGAGGGUGCAAGCGGUAAUCGGAAUGACUGGGCGGAAAGCGUGCGCAGGCGGUUUCGUAAGUCUGGCGUGAAAUCCCCGGGCUUAACCUGGGAAUGGCGAUGGAGACUGCGAGGCUAGAGUUUGGCAGAGGGGGGUAGAAUUCCACGUGUAGCAGUGAAAUGCGUAGAGAUGUGGAGGAACACCGAUGGCGAAGGCAGCCCCCUGGGUCAAAACUGACGCUCAUGCACGAAAGCGUGGGGAGCAAACAGG